rnacentral:rRNA from 1 species
GACGAACGCUGGCGGCGUGCUUAACACAUGCAAGUCGUGCGGAAAGGCCCUUCGGGGUGCUCGAGCGGCGAACGGGUGAGUAACACGUGAGUGAUCUGCCCUCUACUUUGGGAUAACCCUCGGAAACGGGGGCUAAUACCGGAUAGGACCUGCUGCUGCAUGGUGGUGGGUGGAAAGGACCUUCGGGUUCGGUGGGGGAUGGGCUCGCGGCCUAUCAGUUUGUAGGUGGGGUUAUGGCCUACCUAGGCGGUGACGGGUAGCCGGCCUGAGAGGGUGACCGGCCACACUGGGACUGAGACACGGCCCAG